CCUACGGGGGGCUGCAGUGAGGAAUAUUGGUCAAUGGACGAGAGUCUGAACCAGCCAAGUAGCGUGAAGGAUGACUGCCCUAUGGGUUGUAAACUUCUUUUAUAUGGGAAUAAAAUGUUCCACGUGUGGGAUUUUGUAUGUACCAUAUGAAUAAGGAUCGGCUAACUCCGUGCCAGCAGCCGCGGUAAUACGGAGGGUCCGAGCGUUAUCCGGAUUUAUUGGGUUUAAAGGGAGCGUAGGUGGAUUGUUAAGUCAGUUGUGAAAGUUUGCGGCUCAUCCGUAAAAUUGCAGUUGAAACUGGCAGUCUAGAGUACAGUAGAGGUGGGCGGAAUUCUUGGUGUAGCGGUGAAAUGCUUAGAUAUCACGAAGAACUCUGAUUGCGAAGGCAGCUCACUGGACUGCAACUGACACUGAGGCUCGAAAGUGUGGGUAUCAAACAGGAUUAGAUACCCCAGUAGUC
rnacentral:rRNA from 1 species